rnacentral:misc_RNA from 1 species
GUUCGAGCGUCAUUACAACCCUCAAGCACUGCUUGGUAUUGGGCUCCGCUGCUUACCCAGCGGGCCUCAAAAUCAGUGGCGGCGCCUCAGGCUCUGAGCGUAGUAAAUAUCCUCGCUACAGAGACCUGGCGGCGGUUGCCAUCAACCCCCAACUUCUUACGUUUGACCUCGGAUCAGGUAGGGAUACCCGCUGAACUUAA